rnacentral:rRNA from 1 species
AUUGAACGCUGGCGGCAGGCCUAACACAUGCAAGUCGAGCGAGCGGCGGGCGGGUGAGUAAUGUAUGGGGACUGCCCGAUAGAGGGGGAUAACUACUGGAAACGGUGGCUAAUACCGCAUACUGUCGGAUAACCCAUAUGGGAUUAGCUAGUAGGUAAGGUAAUGGCGUACCUAGGCGACCAUCCCUAGCUGGUCUGGGAGGAUGAUCAGCCACACGGGGAGGAGAACACGGCCCAGACUCCUAGGGAGGCAGAGGUGGGGAAUAGUGCACAAUGGGCGAAGGCCUGAUGCAGCCAUGCCGGGUGUAUGAAGAGGGCCUUAGGGUUGUAAAGUACUUUCAGUGGGGAGGCGUUACCGACAGAAGAAGCACCGGCUAACUCCGUGCCAGCCGCCGCGGUAAUU